GCCCUGGCAGUCAGAGGCGAUGAAGGGCGUGCUAAUCUGCGAUAAGCGCCGGUAAGGUGAUAUGAACCGUUAUAACCGGCGAUACCCGAAUGGGGAAACCCAGUGUGACUCGUCACACUAUCAUUAACUGAAUCCAUAGGUUAAUGAGGCGAACCGGGGGAACUGAAACAUCUAAGUACCCCGAGGAAAAGAAAUCAACCGAGAUUCCCCCAGUAGCGGCGAGCGAACGGGGAGGAGCCCAGAGCCUGAAUCAGCAUGUGUGUUAGUGGAAGCGUCUGGAAAGGCGCGCGAUACAGGGUGACAGCCCCGUACACAAAAGCGCAUGUGCUGUGAGCUCGAUGAGUAGGGCGGGACACGUGGUAUCCUGUCUGAAUAUGGGGGGACCAUCCUCCAAGGCUAAAUACUCCUGACUGACCGAUAGUGAACCAGUACCGUGAGGGAAAGGCGAAAAGAACCCCGGCGAGGGGAGUGAAAAAGAACCUGAAACCGUGUACGUACAAGCA
rnacentral:rRNA from 1 species